rnacentral:lncRNA from 13 species
UGGGCUUUGCUCAGCACCUGUCUUGACUGUCCAGGUGAAGACUAAGUCUGUAGGUGACAAGGCCCCUCCCCUAGGUCACACCCUGCCACGGCCGAGGUGGGCAGGACCCCGCGCUCCUCCAGCCCCCUGCUCUCUAGAGCAGUGCACAUCUGCUUCAUCUCCCCAAAACCGCUCUGCACCAGCUGCUCCAGGGCUCCAAGGCCUCGGGGACCCCCACCUCUUCCCCGAGGGGCCUGCAAGGCGCGGUUGGCCUUGCCCACGUUGGCCACCUCCAGGGUCCCUCAGCUCUGCUCCGUUCUGCACUGCCAGAGUGGUCCAGCCACCCUCGGUGGCCCACCCCUUGCCCUCCUCCCAUCAACAGCCCUCAGGAGAUGAGCCCAAGCCUCCCUUCUUGCUCCAGGGAUCCCUCCUACUGGCAGCCCGGAGAGCUCAGGGGAUGACUGGGAGCCAUGACACUUACCCCAGGACCUUCAUAGAAGGCACUUUGGGCUUCGCCAGGAUUAUCCAGGAGGUCAUCACUGUCGAGCUGCAAGAAGACCCACCCCGUCCAAGGUCAAAGGUCAGCAGGGCAGGCCCAUGCUCUGGGGCAAAAAUCAAUUUAGGGUCACUCGAGACAAAAAGACGAGGGGUGGGAUGGGAGAGGGCUGGGGGUAUGGGAAACUGUCUGCCUGCUCCUCCCACCGGAAAGAGACCCCAAAGCCAGGGGCUCAGGUGCCUGCUUAAAACCCAAGGCAUCCCCAGCGCUGAGUCCCAGAGCCUGGCCUGCGAAGCUCUCCUGCCGUGCCUGCCUUGAAUUCCAGAACCUAGAAGCUAGCCUCCAUGCCUCUGCCCAAGCUGUGCCCUGCCAGCGGCCCCAGUCUCCCCUGUAGCACAGCCUUUGGAGUGGCCACCUGUGCCACCUCCUCCAACGGCUCCUUCUCACUGAGUACUCCUUUCUCAAGGCAGUCCGAGCACCUGGCACGCCCACAAUUGAGAAGCCAUGCGGUGCUGUCUGUGGAAGGGCAGGGCCGUAUUGGAUUCCCAGCACCAUCCUUAGCACCCGGAAAAGGCCCUGGCAUCCACUUAAGUGCCCAGUGAAUGUCUGGCCAUGGCUGGGGCCUCCCUCAUUUCUUGUUCCAGCUGGACAUCUCUCUACAACCCCAACUUGGACAUCUACCAGCAC